UGUAAAUUUUACCUGCCACAAGAUGGCACUAGUAACAGCAAUUUAAUUACUGUUUUCGACACUCUUGAUGCUUUGAAACUUCCCGCAUUUAGAGAAAAGCUUCAAAGAUUUAAGAGGCUUCAUUUCUUCAUCCCUACUCAAUAGUUUUAGACGUUUUUGCAAAUGUUUCAAUCGAAUUUAGCUGUUUUAGAGAGCAUCUACUCAUUUUGAUCCUGUUUUUAAACAUGAGCUAUUUGUAAUGUCAUUUUUCAUGUGUGGGACAAAAGAGACGAAACUAAACUAGCCAAUCAGAUUUCUGUUAACCCAUAUCCCCUAUCACCCUUGCACGCACACAUACACACAUUUGACUUUACAACACACAAAUGCACACCUUUAUUUAUUCUCGUUUUCUCUUGCUUUCUCCUGCCAUGUCAUGAGUGUAUGCAGCUAAAAUUUUAAUAAUCAAUUUUAAAAAAUUAUGUAAAAAAUAAAAACGGCAUUAAUUAGCGCCCUCUCAUGCGUACGGCUGCAGGCGCCAAUCUGUGUGUGUGGGUGUGUGCUUGCGUGUGUGUGUGUGUGUGUGUGUGUGUGUUUUCCGUCCAUAUAAUUUAAUAAAAGUUAACGUUACCGCAGAGCCAUAGAGAUGGCUAUGCGUUGCCGGUUAUCAUUCACGCAAAUGGCUUCGCCAACAACCAAUCACAUCGCGAGCUAGAUCAUCUUUGUGUCACGAACGUUCUAAAUUCCACGUCAUAGCGUCAUAAGCAGAAGUUCUGUAUAAAAGUGUCAGAAACUCCCUCUCCUGCUCAGAGGUCUCUGUGUUAUGCUUUCUCACGGGAUAGCUGUUUUGGACGGUGCUGGGUGUUGGUAGGAGCUGUCCUUCCACGCCAUAUCUAUGGGAAUGACCCACAGCGUCAGCAGUGAAGAAGAUCAGCUUCGCUAGGAGGGUGUCAGAUGGGGUCCACUGCUGCUUCUCGUGAGUUGUAGAGACGCGAGUCCAGGCCAAGAUCCUCCCUGGCUGUGAAUCCCACCGUCAGGAGAAAACUGGUCCCUCUCAAAGACAGUGAGACAGAGGACGUCCUGAUACAGGUCUUUGAUGAAGAAGUGGCAAUUGAAGUUCCAUUUGGGGUUGAG